rnacentral:rRNA from 1 species
AACGUAGGAGACGAGCGUUAUCCGGAAUUACUGGGCGUAAAGCGCGAGUAGGCGGCUUUUUAAGUGGUCUGUGAAAGCGUCCGGCUCAACUGGACGAGGCCGGAUCAGACUGGAAAGCUGGAGGGUCAGAGAGGCAGGCGGAAUUCCGGGUGUAGUGGUGAAAUGCGUAGAGAUCCGGAGGAACACCAGUGGCGAAGGCGGCCUGCUGGCUGACAACUGACGCUGAGGCGCGAAAGCAUGGGGAGCGAACGGG